ensembl:scaRNA
UGGCUCAGUUUCCUGGGGGUGGACUCAGCCUGUUCCACUUCCCCUCAGUCGAGCCUAAAGUAAAGAGGCCAGGUGUCUUCUUAUAUGGGAGAGAUGUUUAAGAAAGGAACCUUACCUGGGCUGUCCUAGCCUCACAUUU